AGGGCCGGCCUCCUCACGGCCACGAUCGGAGUUCGCUCAUGAGCGUUUCCGCGUGAGAGGCCUACGCACUAACGGGUAAACGUCGGCACCUAUCCCGGACCGUCCUGCGUGUAGCCAACCCGUCUGCCGCACAGUGUAUGUCCGGGCAUGCCCCCUUGCGGGGUAGGCUUAAUGAGCUCCGGCGCGGGAGUCACCGACACACCAUACUCUGUUAACCAGAGGCCGUGAGGCCAUUGAAAGUACUAUUCUAAGCGGUGGAUCACUCGGCUCGCAGGUCGAUGAAGAACGCAGCCAACUGCGGUAAUUAAUGCGAAUUGCAGACACAUUGAGCAUCGACCUUUCGAACGCACAUUGCGGCACUAGGUUCACUCCUGGUGCCACGUCUGUCUGAGGGUCGCGAUUCUGACAGCGAUUCGUACCCGAACGAUACGGGUCGUGCCAGAGGAGCCAUGUCCGAGUCGGACGGCAGCGUCCGCCGAACGACGAGGGCAGCUCUUCGGAGGGCAGAGAGCCGACGGAUCCUUAGUCGGCAAGAAAGUCCCCAUCGGGGCGCGGCGGCGUAACGAAUACUCGCUUCCGCACCUCGUAGGACUCGUUGGUCCGACCUCAGAUCAGACGUGACAACCCGCUGAACUUAAGCAUAUCACUAGGCGGAGGAAAA
rnacentral:misc_RNA from 1 species